CACUAUGCAUUUCUUCUUUCUUCAGGAGUUAAGAAGCAGUGUCUGUCAGUCACCUAGUUGGAACUGAAUAUCUCCUCAGAGAAUUAUGCUGUGGGUGAAAAGAGUAACCCCAAAGGCCACUAAACACUAAAUAACUCCAUCUCUACAAUGCUCUUGAAAUGAUAAAAUCACGAUAAUGAUGAACAUGUUCAUAGAUGAUCAGGGCUUUUAUGAACUCUCUCUUGCCCUACAAUCCCAAGAGCUAAAACUGGUAAAUUGGUUUUUUUUUUUCUUUCUUCUCUCCAAACCUACUUGCCAGCUUUCCAUGCUUUCUAGGUCUCCUCUGGGACUUUUCACAAUGUUCAUAUCCUAAAGCUUAUAUGACGAUGACAAGAAAUGCCUAAAUCAUAAAUCAAAAAUAAUUCAUAUAAUUAAACAUUUCUAUUUCAUGAAUGAAAAAUGCACAAAGGUCUCCAAUGACUCUCAUCUCACCAAUAUCAGUAGUUUGCUGUGGCUGUGGAAGAGGCCUUUGGAAGAUCUGGGCUCAAGUCUUUUGUGAAUGACCAACUGCAUCCAUCUUGAUCACAUUUCUGCACCAUUGAACACCUCCUUGUAUACUCUCACUGCUUCUUCCAGCUCAUGACAGACCCUGCCUUUUUUGCUUAUUAGCAUCAUUAUUUCAUAUUUCUUUAUUUUAUGUGUAUGAGUGUUUUGCCUGUAUGUAUGUGCACCACAUGUGUACCUUGUGUCCUUGAGGUCAGAAGAGAAUGUUGGGUCCCCUGGAACUGACAUGGCCCAAGGUUGUGAGCUGCCAUUUGGGUGUGGGGAACUAAACCCAGGUUCUGAGAAAGCAGCAUGUGCUUUUAGCCACUGGGCCAUCUUUCCAGACCUGUUUACGAUGUAUUUUGACUGUUUCUACCACACACCCUCUUCCAACUCCCCCUGCACCUUUCCACUCCCAAACAGGCCUCCCUCCUCACUCCACGAUCUCUUUUUAACUCACUGAGUCCAAUUCUGUUUUUAGUCACCUGCUUGCUAACUAGAGCUGUCCCAGUGAACUUUCCUUCCCCGUUCUAAGCAUUUCAGAUGGGAACUAGAGGUCAUGAACAUCUUGAAUCUCCACAUAAGAAUGUGCCUCUCUGCCUGGCUCUGUAUGGCACCUCAAAGCUGAUGGUAAAAUAGUUUUGAAUUUCCAUCACUUGAUUUUUAUGGCAUUUACAAAUAAUUUUUCCCUUUGAACUAUGGAAUGUCUUUACUUUGUUAAUGCUAUUUGUUUUAUGUAUAUGAGGGUUUUGCCUGCAUGUCUGUGCACCACAUGCAUGCCUGGUACCAGCAGAGGCCAGAAGAGGGCAUCAGGUCCCCUGGAACUGGAGUUACUGAGGGUUGUGAGCUGCUUGCUGUGUAGGUGCUGGGAACUGAACCCAGGUCCUCUGCAAGAACAGCAAGUGCUCUUAGAUGUUCAGCCACCUCUCCAGACCCAUGAAUUUCUUUUUAUAUAGAAAAAGUGAAGUUUCAAUCUUUGUCAUUUUGUAAUAAAUGUACACUUACAUAAAAUGCUUCAUAUGUUUCUUCCUAUGGGAAAUUGCCAGGGAGGGUUUUUUUUUUUAAUAAUUUAAAACUCAAACAGGUGGCAGUUUCUUUUAAUCAUGUGAAAUAUUCUAGAUUUAAAUUCAUUUAGUUUUGAAUACAUAAUGCAUGCAUAUGAUUUAAGCUAUAGUAUAUGUCUCCUUUCAUCCUUGACUUCCAAUGAAUUUAGUUCUCUCCUGUGUAAGGAGUCUUUCCUGCUACUGUACACAUGUAAUACAAUACAUAUGCUUUAUAGAAGUGGUAAAAUAUGAAAGUCAUCAUUUCAUAUAAUUGCUUUCCCUCUGUUAACUAAGUACAAUAGAGAUGGUUCUGUAGUAAUCAUAAAGACUGACUUCAUGCUUUACUUUAAGAAUGUAAAGUGCCAUACUUUAUGUAAAGAGUCUACUUACCUACACUGAGGCUAUUCAAUGAUCUUGUAUUCAUAUCUGUAGAUGCACAGGCAAACAUUCCUCUAGAUUCUACAUUGUUGCAUAAGUCCUUAGAAAUGUAUCUAUAUUUGUAAAAAUAAGGCAUUUGUUAUAUCAAUUGUGGAAUUCUCAUAUCUAGCAAAUGGUUUUAAAUAAUGCCUUAAUUUUAAUUGGCAAGGCCCUAUGCAUUUUAUGAGUUAGAUUUUAAGAUCUGGAAAUUAUAUGCACCUGCAUUUUUUGUUGUUGUUUUUUACUUUCUUCUUUUCUUGCUGUUUUCUUUUUCAUUUCUCUCCUGUGUUCUUCUACCUUUCUUUCUUCCUCCCUCCUCUUCCUCUAGCUCACGUUCCUAUUAAAGAUCAGAUUGGGAGCGGUGUAGCCACUAGAUGGUGGUACAAGCACACAGGGAAAACUAGUUUGUAAACAGAUUAGGCGCUAGUUUUCAUUUCCUGCUUAGUUUUUAAAUUGCUAUCCACCGGGGCCCUUAAAUGCCUCCUAAGGGACAUCACUGUGAUCGCUGUUUAGUAGUUGAGCCAACAUAACACUGAUGUUGAGCUUUUCGGCAGCUGCUGUGGCCCACUUUAUGUUGAUGGUGAGACUUUUUAAAAACGCUCAUUGCUUGCCUACAAUAACUCCUCAGUGGGAAUCUGGUAAGUUUCCUGAGUGAUUUGAAGGGCUUGCUUAUAUUCUUGACUGAUUUACAGGUCCUACAAUGUUGCAUUUGAGACUACUUAGAAUUUAUAAUCCUGCUUUAUUUAGUUGACUGAAUUUCAGUGAAGAAAUGGCAGUUCUGUAGCUAGUUCCUAAAAUGACAGAAGGCAGCUAUUUGCUAUGGUUUGCCCCAUCAGUUGCAAUUCAGAGAUUUAUACAAACAUGCUUCAUCCAUCACUUCAAGGUCUAAAAUGUAGUUUUCAAUAUCUUGGAAUUUAUUAUAGAAGUAUUUUUCUGCAUGCAAAUUGCCUUAAUUUUUUAGAGGUGUCUGUUUUCUCUAUGAGAAUCUAUGCUGUGAAAGUUUGUAUUGGUAAAUUCUUCUCAAAUCACAGAAGAAAGGCAUCUAACAGUAUUGAAGGGUCUUUGCUUAUAUUAGAGCUACAUGAUAAAGAUAGCAUUUAUACUCUUGAAAACCAGCUCAAUGCAUUUAGCAGAGGACAGUGUUAUCAGCACCACCACCCCUCCAACACACACAGUAAAUGUUCUGUGCAGAGGUGGCACACAUUCAUUCUCCUGUUUGGCAGUGUCCCUAUUUGGUUUGUGGGGAUGGGUAUAUGAGACCUUCUUGUUUUGUGACUACAUGCUCUUGUCAAGCGCAUGUCUUCCUGAGAGGUAUCCUUAUACUCAAGCUUGGGGUUACUAACUUCAAUGAGUCAGUUAUUUGGGGGCAAGUGUUGAGGUCUAUCAUCCCAUUUGUAUCAGGGUUGCCUGACUUAGAAAAAAGAAGACUAACAUUUUAAUUGUCUGAAGGGUUUUGAUAAUAAUGAGGCUUUCUUACCACUUACUAUGUCUUGAUGAAACUCUACGAUCUGCUGUCUAGUAGCUGUGUUAUACUGUUACACCUGGAAACCUUCAUUUAAGACAUUUGCUGUUUAACUAAAAGGAAAUGACUUCAUACAUAAGAGAAGACAAAAAUAAUCACUGACUAGAAUUCAACAGAAGAACUCUGAGUUCAGAGAAGCAGUCCCUAAGAUGAGGAGCCCACUGGCACCCUGCACCAUGAAGUAGAAGCCACUGCAGCUGGGUCCUUCGUUUUAUUAGGAAAGAUAGCCCAUUUUGUGAUCUGCAACGUUUAAAUCAGUUGAACUAUAGUGAAAUCUCUCCCCUGAAAUGGCUAUUACACAGCUUGCAACCUUUUGUUCAAGAGAUUAAGUUUGCAUCUCCUCACAUUAUCUCCUUGUAAUUGGAAAACUUUCAUUUUGACGGAGAAAAUGUGCCAGCAUCCCCGAGAGCCUUGCCACAAGCCAAUGCAGAGUGCCAUCUGGAGGGUGCAUGCCCACAUCAGGCAGCAGACUCCUGGCGGGCUGUAUCUGGAACUCUGCGAUGAACAACUAAUAACAUCUUAAGCUCCAUUUGUCUAGCUCGUGAGUGCUCUUGGCAGAGGUCAUAACCAGCAGUGGUUUUCUUGAUUUGCUGCAUCAAAUGUAAUUAGGUUAAAGCACUCACUGACAGAGCCUCUGAUAAUGGCAUAAAAGCCUCAGGCUUGAAUUUACCCAUCGAGUCAAAUUUAAGUUUCGAUCAACAAAGAUGUAUUAAUUUCAUCACCAGGACAGUGAAAAACUGAUGAAUUUUAAAGGUAUUUAUGUGGAGCAACACAGUUUUCCUUUCUUUGGAUUUCAUACUUCUUUGGCUUCUAUUUUAAAAUUGAGUUUAAUCAACUUCUGUUCUGGUUCCUAGCUUCUAAAAGAGACACUGAUGUCUCCUGCUAAGACACAUGGUCCCUCAUGUACUCAAACCAUGCAUCGCUCGUGAACCUUACCGUUGGUCACAUUGUAGAAAAUGAGGAGACAUCUUCAGCAUGUCACCUUCAUGUAAAUUAAUUCUGCCAGUUGUCUACACAUAAAGACAGAAAUGACACCAUGGUUGACCUUUUAACCUUUGCCUGCUGAAAAACUCCAGGAUUAGCAGAGGCCUCUUCAUAAAUGAGUCAGUUCAAGGCCGUGAGUAAAAUAGAGAACCAUUGCUUAGGGUUAAAUUUAGGGCAAGCUUGGGCCCAGAGCACAAGACAGACGUUAGCUUUUAUGAAAAGCAUACAAAAAGAGUGUGAGCUCUCUGCAGAAAAUGAGGCUUAACAGUUUUCAGCACCAAUGUUAUAGAACAAGUACUAGAGAAAGAGAGAGCUGGGGUGUGGUCUUAUCAGGAAGGCAAGGCUGUAAAGUUGUUGGUCUGCAUAAUAAGGCCUUUGAACAUCAGCAGAGGAACUAAGGAUGAGGGACAGGCAAAGCAACCACGGGAGAACAACACUUUUUCAAACUGACUUCGGCUUCUCCUGUCCCUGCUUCUUGGAAAUACUGGCACUACUGAAGCUGGUGGAGAAAUAGGCCUGCAAUUUCUGGGGAACAGCAGUGAUUCCUGUCGACUUUGUACCUCACUGGGGGAUGUUGUGUUCGAGUGUUUCAGGUGGUUCUGCCUCUGAUAAAAGCAAUAGGCGUGUGUGAGAAUGAGGUUAAGUAAGUGUUUAUUUGAGGAUUUAAUAUUGCACACGCCAACGGAGUACAGCAAUUACCAUGCUGUGAAUUUCAUAUUCAUGUGUGGCAUAUUUAUUUGUUGUUUACCUCUCUGCAUAAUGGAAAUGCCAUGAAAAUCUGUUCCUUCUACUGCUUUAAUUUUAAAUGAAGCUAAAUGUUAUGUAUAAUUUUAAGUUACAGACUGCUAAUUUCAUUCUGUUUUAAAUACUCUACACAUAAGAAGCUCUUAUGGUCCUGCAAGAAUCCACGCUUUGGACAAAAUCAAAGCAUAAUCCUUUCAGUAAUUGUGUAGUAGGUAGGUAGUUAAUAGAUUAAAUUAUGAACCUAAUAUCAUCACAUUGACAGUCUAUUUCAAACUGUGUAGUUAUCUGUACCAUUCAUACGUGUAUGACUCUCUGUAAAUAGAUAUGUAUGCCUUUGUUACUUUCCUGCUAAAUACCAUAUAGUUAAAAGACAAAAGCCCAUAGCCUCUGGUGGUAAAUUGUUUGUGUCUAGCUCACUUACAAUAAUCUGGUGAUAGACUCAGUGCUCGGUGGAACGGUGAUGAAAGCUUUGGGAACAGUACAGUUUUCACCUAUUUCCAUGAUAGUAUUUUAAAGAGCGAGGCAAUGGCAGACCUCAAAGCUAGUUCACCUUCUGUAAAUACAGUGGAACAAAGCAAGGAAAAUGCCGGAAAGAAAAACAUCUAUAGCUCUUGUCUACGGCUUCCCGUCUCUAGUCUGGGAAUCCAUUCAUGUGCCAUGCCUCGACUUCUCUUUGCUGGCCCAUCCCGCUCUUCUCUCCUCAACUCCAGAGCCAUCUCAGGAACCAGGGAUGUGUGCCACCCAAGAUCUGCCCAAUUAUUACUUAUUUAACAAGCAUCACUGUGCACUGAGCAUGUAUAUAGCUAAGGUCUCCACCCCUGGCUACAGCCUGCAUGGGAACAGAUCUAGACCACGCAGGUGAAAACACCCACUCAAUAGCCCUGCAAGCCAGCACAUACUUAUGUGUUUAAAGGCAGAAAUGGCCGAGAAGUUUCAUUUUCUGAGAACUCUUAAUGUAGUCUGCAAAGCUCGGAAUGUAAUGCGCCAGUUGUUCAAUUUCCAUUGUUAUUUACCAAAGUGAAGCUUUGAAUGAAGGGAGAAUGUGCCAUCUGCCUCCCCCUGUGAUAAUGCUUGGUUUUAUUCCCAAGUACAUCAACCACUGACUUGGCAUUUCAACUAACCGAAGCACUUUUCUCAUUAGACUGUGUCUGUGUCUACAAAAGACCAUAUUUUCCUGGUUGCUCAUUUGAAUAUUCCUGUCCUCUCCGUCUUCCUUCACUGGAUUUGAGACUUUCUAUCCAAAAAUAUGGCCAGUUUGAUAUGGCCAGUUUUCUGGAUACCUCAUGGACAGGCUACACCUGAUACAGCUCUUUUUCCAGUGACUUAUUCAAUCAACUCUUUUGUUUAUUUUUAUUUACUAUGUAUAUUGCCUGUUUUCUGUGGACACAGGGCAUAUAUAAUUCUUUGAGAAGAUAUAAUAUAAUGUGAUACCCAUCCUUAACUCAAUUUCAGUUAAAAACAAAAACUGAGUAUGGAGGUCUAAAAACAGUCUAUUUUAAGUAGACAUUUCUAAAUGCCAGGGCAUAUAGAUAACAUAUCUAUUCAUCCAGCCAAUCACUUAAUAAGCACUUAUUGAGUGUUGUGAUAUGUUCAGCAGUCUAAGACUCAUUGGAGAUAUAAACUUGAGAAAACCAUGCAUGGUGCCUGACCUGGAUGAGUUUAGAGCAAGUGGGUACCGUGGCAUAAGGACCUAUCUGAAGAACGUGAGCAUCACCUAGAAGCAUAAUAGUCAUGUAUGGUGUCUGAUCCAUCCAGCUUCAGUGAGAAGCAGCUGUGUUAUAACAAGUUAUUCCAGUGACUCAAAGUAAAGUUUGAAAAGUGCUGGUGGAACAUGGAAUGCUUGGUGGACAACACAGACAAAUGGGGAUCACCAAAUUUUAUUAAAAGGGGGAAGAAGGUGAAUCUAGGCAAGCUAAAGAUAAGAGCUGGAUGGAACCUAAAAUCUGAUUCAGAAUACAAGGUUUGGAGAUCUAGCUGGGAAUAUUUCUUCAAAACUACCGCAGGGGCAGAAAGAAGGAGGCUGAUGCAUUGAUGCAUUGCAGGCAGAGGGGGAGCUGGUAGAUAUGGAUGAAAGUCAAAGCUUGGAGGACAGGACACAGUGCAGGGUCCAGAGUAGAAGGAGCCAUUGGUGGCAGUGGCGACACAGCAGCUGGAGGCCAGAUUUUCUAUCUCAGGCACGAGAAGGAAGGCCAACAUUAACAUUUUCCAGGUGAUCUUUAAAUGAAGAAUCAGGGCUUAGCUUUUAAAUUUUAAAAUAAUCAUGAAAGUCCACAAGAAGAUGCAAAUCAAGUACAAUUUUCUUAUGUAUACUGAUUCUUCCCAAGCACAUCUAAUUUAUGAGAACUUAGAUCUGAGCAGAGAAAAAGAGCAUUUCAGAUGAUCUGGACCAGUAAUCUUGCUUCAAAAUUCAAAACUGUUAAUGUGGGGGAAAGUGCUUACAUCUUAACCUACACAAUUUUCUCUUUAUAACCAAGGGCCAGCCCUAAUAAAAUAUAUAAAAUGAAGCUUGCCUGUGGUCCCCAUCCUGCUUCAUAGUCUUUUCUGUAUCCUUUGUUACAUGCCAAUGGUGUCUGUAGUUUUGCUGAAUGUACCAUUAUGCUCUAAGCCAAUAAAGGCAAUCUUGAGUGACUGGUGACCUUCUCAAAUGAAUCUUUUUAUGUCACUAUGUCAAGUGGUUUCUGCUGUCUUAUGAGGUCAGCCCUCCACACAAGGAUUCUUCCAUUCAUACAUUUGAAAUAAUUUGGGAGUCCAGUUCUGACAAACUCAGUCAGUGCUCACACAACCAUAGGAAGUUUGCAUUCCUCAGUAGGCCCUUAAGACGGUCUCAACAAAUGAUUUCAUUCCCGAGAUGCUUUUAAACACUGACCUCUAUAUUUCAGGUUUUCUGGACAUCUGUUAGGGUGGCAUUCAGUGUGCUUUCAACACAUGACUUAUCUGUAUACAAACCUGAGUUGACAGGGAGAAGCCUGUGGCUUUCUAAUAAACGACAGAGUUAAUCAGCAAGACAGACCCUAGAGCGGUGUCUUGGGCAGUCGCCUUAAAAAUAUCAGAGAAAACCAUCAGAUAAUUUCAGUGGGGGUAUUCCACACUCAGCAACACAAAGAUGGUGCUUUUCUAUGAGUGGAGCAUCUUGAAGCAAUUCUAUUGACAAACCCAGGAUUUAUCUAUUUGUAAAUAAGCAUCAUAGGAAACUGGGGAAGCAGGGGGACCAUGUAGAGAUUUGCAAGAGGCAUCUGCUAUCUGGAAGCAGAGACCAUACAAUUGAAAGGUGAGCUAGCUAAUCAGAAUGACAUUUUCAAAACUGAAUUAUUUUACUAUAAUUUAGACAGACCAUAAUUUGGGAUGAACUUUUUCUCCAUAGUGACAGAAAUAUUCUCUCAUACAAUGAGUUAUUAGCCAAUCUAGAAACAAAUAAAUACAAAGUAUUAAAGAGACAAAAUUUUCUUUUAUUUAUAUUUCUAGUUUUGUAGGAAAGGGUUUUUGCAUCACAAAUAUUUAAUCAAACUGCUGAAUUCUGUAUUUAAGUUGCAAAUGGCCACAGCAAUGUCUUUAUGAUUUCUCUUGAAAAACUCUGUACAUCAAACAUCAGAAAACAUGCUCUCCAGGGAGCUUGUCCCAAACAAAUAUGGUUCAUUGUUCUCUAGGUUUUAUGUUUAGAGUUACUUAAUGUAAACGCUAUUUUCAGUCAUUAUUUUAGUGGCAAUAGCUGAACUGUACGUGUGUACGUGCUAUCACUAAUCACUACCGACAACAGAAGUUCUAAAAUUGAUUUUUUUCAAUGUAUCUAAAUGAGAAUGUAUAAAUCAAGUAAUUAGAAAGCAGAGAUCAAGGAAGAAUGUUUUUCGUUUUUCCCUAAUGGGUGGCUGUCUUAUAACCAGUUCAUUAGGACCAAUCAACAGCACUUCUGAAAACAUGGGGUAGAGUGAAAAUUACUCUUCUACCUUCAGCCAGUAUCAUACCUCCUCCUAUGCACACUGAACAUCUCUGGGCAUGAAGAGUGUCAGCUCUGUAUCUUGUCUCCUUCCUGCUAAUGUUUUCUUUUCUUUCCCACCACAUUUGAGCACCACCAGUGAGAAGGACUAGAAAUAGCUUUCCCAGUGAGGGAAAAACAAACAAAAACCUGAGGACUGGUGGAAUGGCGGGCCAGUGAUUGGUCACUGGAGUCAAGCCCAUGGAAGACAAGAACGUGGGAAUGGAAGCGGUGUUGCUUAAAUGCUUCUCAGUGGAAACAGUGUGGCCUCUGCCUGUUAACUUAGUAUGACACAGAAAUCACCUCCUAACUGCUGGUGCUUUCUCUUCAGCCAACACCCAAAGCCACCACCAGGGUCAUGGGGAUGAGACUUCACAAGACUGGAGACUGUAUGCUCUGCUGCAUGCUGAAGACCUAGAACUCUGGCAGCUGUUUAGUACCACAAACUGGAGGCCUCGGAACAAAGGGGACCAAUGAUGAGGCCCCAGUGGAAAGCUGAAGGCCUGAAAAAACCCCUGGAUGAUUCUGCACUGAGAAGCCAAAGACACUGGAAUCUGAUGCUCAUGGCUGUUUUGAAAACCGGACAGCCAACAGCAGGUCAGAGCAGAUUGUGAUCCUGGAAGAAUAAGGGGAAGGACAGCUCCUGUAAAAUGGUGCUGUGGAUACUGUCCUAAAACCGUGCAACUGUUAGCUGGCCGCUGACCUCCAUUGCUGAACAUGACAGCUCUCCUGGACCCUGGCCUUCUCUCUUCUCUUUUCCAUCUCCUUAGUCACAGAAGUUGCUAAGGUUUACAUCUCCCAAACUCCAGCUAAGUUGCCCUAGAGCUUUCUUCUGUGUCUGUUUCUGAAUUCUUUUACUAACAAGACUGAGAACUCAGAAAAGAAAACCCUGGUUUCCUAGGUAACAGCUUCAGGUUUAAGUAUUAAUAAAUGCUAUUAGUUCUUCUGACAGUCCUCACACAUUGAACUUGGCCUGUCUUCUCAAAUACUGGUCCUCCCAAAAGACUACAUGAGAGUUUCUAUUGAUCAAUGUGAAGUUCAUAAUACUGUUAAUGAGACAGCUCACAGUAAACUGAGGUCAAACUUAUUUGACUAACAAACAUUAAAAGGCAUCUUCUGAUUUAGAAACUCAUAAGGACUGUAGGAAAAAUGGAAUACAUUGUUCUUUUCUUCAAUAUUUUUACAAUUAAUUUAGGGGAUUUGGAUUGAGUACUUCACUGUAAUCCAAAGAGACUACACUAUAUUUUACCAGGAAGGAAUAAAUGAAAGUCUAGGGAUGUUACAAGAUGACUGAUGGUGGCUUUUCUGUUUAGGAAGAGUCUACAUUGGGUAUGUAAUUCCAGUACUCAGGAGGCAGAGGCAGGAGAAGUGUUGCAGGUUCAAGGCCAGCCUGGUCUACAUGACAAGAUUGAGGCCAGUCACAACUAUGAAGUGAGACUUUCUCUCAAAAAAUAAAAAUAAAAAAUGAAAAAUCAAACCAAACAAAAAUCCAAACAAAAGAAUGUGCCAUUAAUGAUGGGGUCUUAAAGGACUCCUAGACAUGUCAGUUUGACCAAUAUCAUUUUCUGACCUGAACACACAGACAUUAAUAAGGACAGCAGGUCUAAAAUAUGAUUGCUUAUUAAAAUGGCUCUCUGGCAUCAAAUGAUGUUCCCUUCACCUUUUACCUUUUUUCCUUUGCAGUGCUAAGGGUUGAACCCAGGGCUUUGUGCCAACAGCCUACAACUGAACUAUAUCCCUUGCCCUAAACUGAGUUCAUUUUAAUACCAGAUAUAGGUUAAAAACUAUUGUAUGUAUAAACUUCCAGGUCAGCAUAUUCAAUAUGGUUCAUAUUUUGGAACAAUUUAUAUAUAUUCCUGUAUAGCUAAAGAACUUUAGAGAUUUUGUUUUCAUACUAAAAUUUAGAAAGACAUUAAAUUUUAAGACUUUUAAUAAAGUAUAUACAAUUCAUUGGUGUUCCUGUAAACUUUGGAAGAUUUAAAAUUUUUCCUUCUUGGUAUUUUUUUUUUCAAGAGAAGAAGCUGUAAUUUUAAUUCUUCCUUGAAGGAAACUUUGAAAAGGAGUCAGUCCAUAUCUCUGACUUGCCAAAAUUAUGUAUGGAGUCUUUCCUCAUUGGUUUUAGAUUUUGGUAUUAUUUUAAACAAGCCAAUUACAGUAUGCUUGCACAUUGUUAUUAUAUAAUGAAAUUAGAAGGAAAAUACUACAGUUAUUUCAAUGUGGUAAGAUUAUAAUUGACAUGUUAAUUUUCCCUUAUAUUUCAAAUUUUUAAUAAUGUGAUUAUAUUUUGCACUGAUUAGUGUCAAUUAAAGACUAAACAAAAAUUUACCUAAAAUAUGUUAUCAUACAUUAAGAUAUAUGUCCAUUUCAAGAAAAUUGAGAUUGAACUUACAGUGCAUUUCAAGACUAUUGUAAGAGUAAGAUUACAAUUGGGUAUUUAUUAUUUAUAAGACAUAAGUCAAUGGAAAAAUAAUGGAAGCAUAUAACAUACAAGCAAUUAAUGAAUUAAUGAUGGCCACCUAUGAGCAGACUUCAAUUUUUCUAAGUAAGAUUUGCAUUCACGGAAUUGGAGAGAUAGCCCAGUAGUUAGGAGAACUGGCUAUUCUUGCAGAGUAUCAAGGCUCAACUCUCUACAUGCACAUGGUGGCUCACAACUGUCUACACUUCAAGUUCCAGGAGAUCCAACACCCUCUUCUGGCCUCAGUAAGUUAUAGGCAUGCAAAUGUGCGCUGACACCUGUGCAGGCAAAAUAUCCAUACACAUAAACAAGGUAAUUUAAAAAUUGCCAGGCAGUGGUGGCACAGACCCUUAAUCCCAGCACUUGGUAGGAGAGGCAGGCGGAUCUCUGAGUUCAUGGGCAGCCUGAUCUACAUAGUGAGUUCCAGGAAAGCCAGGGCUACACAGAGAAACCCUGUCUUGAAAAACAAAACAAAACAAAAAACAAAAAAAAAUGCAUUUACUUUAAAAACCAUAAUAAACAUGAAAACAUUUGUUUCAUAAACAUCUGUUCAAAGAGUCAAUAUGUUUAUUUUUUCUUAAAAGUGAGUGGUAAAACUGAGAGUUGUAAAAUUAUCAGAUGCCACCUGUAUAUUGAGAAAUGUUCAUCAUGCACUUGUUCCUCAGCUCCCUGUCAUGAGUAAUAGAAGUUUAACAAUUGUGAUUUUUAAAAGUUAUAUCUAUAACAUAAAUCUUAUAUAAGUACUCCUAGAAUCAGCUUGCUCAUUUGUAAAAUAGUAACAACAAAACAUUUUUCUUGCCUUUAGUAGAAGAAACUGCUGUAAAAUUUGUGUCGAAGAAAGCCUGUGCCUUUGAUUAAGAGAGUACUUAGAAGUGUUGAGGGUUGCUUGACAAGGGUACGGACGAGAGACAAGAAACUAGUAGAUACUAGGGUGCUUUUUUUCAUGCAAGCGAGGUUGGCCUCAGGAGAAAGUGACCUAGUGCUUCAUGUUGGGUCAUAAUGGUCCUGGCUCUAGAGACAGCAUUCUAAACAUUGAGUAAUUGUGUUUUUGAUUUUGUAGUUUGUAAGAAAAGUCCAGUAGGCUGAUGGAACAGAAGCUGGUGGCUUCUAUCACCCCAGGUGCAUGAGAGGGCUCAACUGAAGGGGCUUUGUUAUCACAAGACAACCAUAAAGAGCACCUUCUCUUCAUACAGAGA